AGUGAACGCUGGCGGUAGGCCUAACACAUGCAAGUCGAACGGCAGCACAGUAAGAGCUUGCUCUUACGGGUGGCGAGUGGCGGACGGGUGAGGAGUACAUCGGAAUCUACUUUUUCGUGGGGGAUAACGUAGGGAAACUUACGCUAAUACCGCAUACGACCUACGGGUGAAAGCAGGGGAUCUUCGGACCUUGCGCGAUUGAAUGAGCCGAUGUCGGAUUAGCUAGUUGGCGGGGUAAAGGCCCACCAAGGCGACGAUCCGUAGCUGGUCUGAGAGGAUGAUCAGCCACACUGGAACUGAGACACGGUCCAGACCCCUACGGGAGGCAGCAGUGGGGAAUAUUGGACAAUGGGCGCAAGCCUGAUCCAGCCAUACCGCGUGGGUGAAGAAGGCCUUCGGGUUGUAAAGCCCUUUUGUUGGGAAAGAAAAGCAGCAGGUUAAUACCCCGCUGUUCUGACGGUACCCAAAGAAUAAGCACCGGCUAACUUCGUG
rnacentral:rRNA from 1 species